rnacentral:rRNA from 1 species
GACGAACGCUGGCGGCGUGCUUAACACAUGCAAGUCGAACGGAAAGGCCUCAGCUUGCUGGGGUACUCGAGUGGCGAACGGGUGAGUAACACGUGGGUGAUCUGCCUUGCACUCUGGGAUAAGCUUGGGAAACUGGGUCUAAUACCGGAUAUGAACUGCCUUUAGUGUGGUGGUUGGAAAGUUUUUUCGGUGCAAGAUGAGCUCGCGGCCUAUCAGCUUGUUGGUGGGGUAAUGGCCUACCAAGGCGUCGACGGGUAGCCGGCCUGAGAGGGUGUACGGCCACAUUGGGACUGAGAUACGGCCCAGACUCCUACGGGAGGCAGCAGUGGGGAAUAUUGCACAAUGGGCGGAAGCCUGAUGCAGCGACGCCGCGUGGGGGAUGACGGCCCUCGGGUUGUAAACUCCUUUCGACAGGGACGAAGCUUUUUGUGACGGUACCUGUAUAAGAAGCACCGGCUAACUACGUG